rnacentral:lncRNA from 10 species
UUUUUAAUGCUGAAGUUCCAUGUUUCAUACCAUUGUGGUCAGAAAAGAUACCGCCCUAAUAUAUGAUCUGUCCUGGAGAAUAUUCCAUGUAUGCUCGAGAAGAAUGUGUAUUCUGCUGUUGGAUGGAAUCUCCUGUAUAUGGCUCUUAGCAGCCUGAAGCCAUGGUUUUUAGUUUCUGUCUCUAGUGACAAGCAGAGAAGAGGGAUGAAAGGGGCAUUACUGGCCUGGCCCAACCAGAAAGAGAAACAAAGCAUCCAUGGCUGUAUUCUUUCCCUUGGACACCACUGUGACUAUAUUGUUUGAAGGGGUCAGUCCUCUGGCACAUACCCCCUUCCCCAACCAAUGCCAAUCAAUCAAUCAUUAACAGUUGCUCAAGACAAGACUGACUGGGGAGUGGUCCCAAGGAAGCCUGAUUUCAUAUACACAAAGACACUAGAGUCCCUUCUACACACUGUCAGCCCCUUCCAGAGCCUUUGAUAUUGUUUGUUAUGCACAAAAUGGAUGUACCUUUAGUACUUUAUCCACCUCCUGUUUACUGAGAUCUUCUCCACACUCUUGAGUCAACCGAGACUGGAUCAUGUUUCGGCGUACCCGGUAAUUUUUGGAAAAAAUUUCAAGCAAAACCUGUCGAUGCUUUAGUAGCAAAAACACGUUAUGAUGGGAAACAGUGAUCUAAAAAGAGAAACAUCCCCAAACAAGACACCCAAGCCAUGCACCUGACUUUGUGUUGCAGUCUCUGAUAAAAACCCUCACGCAGCACCUCUGGUUAAAGAUGAGCCAAGUCAUCUCUAGAGACCCAGCAAGACAGUGUACAGAAAUAAAAACACAAAAGUAAAGGCAUUAAUGCUAUGUCUGGAAACUUGAAUAUAAAUAAAAACAAAGGUAUAUGCCAGCAUAACAAAAGAACUGGUGAAGAGACAUGAGAGGAUGAGUGGCUUGAACAUAUUUCUGCAUGGUAAAAUGCAGGCGUGCAUCGGACUUAGCAAGCAGGUGAAGCGACAAUCUAAGCUGCACGGAGAUGAGAAGAGGGUGUCAAAAUUGGUGUGAAGUCUUAAUGCACAAACAUGCCACUGCAUCCAUGAAACAGGAUGCCGUAAAAUACGUUACACCCCAAAAUAAAAAUGGAAAAGAUUGGAUUCAGUAUGUCUAAUAUCUGUCAUAAGAAUUC